GGAGCUUGCUCCUGGAUUCAGCGGCGGACGGGUGAGUAAUGCCUAGGAAUCUGCCUGGUAGUGGGGGACAACGUUUCGAAAGGAACGCUAAUACCGCAUACGUCCUACGGGAGAAAGCAGGGGACCUUCGGGCCUUGCGCUAUCAGAUGAGCCUAGGUCGGAUUAGCUAGUUGGUGAGGUAAUGGCUCACCAAGGCGACGAUCCGUAACUGGUCUGAGAGGAUGAUCAGUCACACUGGAACUGAGACACGGUCCAGACUCCUACGGGAGGCAGCAGUGGGGAAUAUUGGACAAUGGGCGAAAGCCUGAUCCAGCCAUGCCGCGUGUGUGAAGAAGGUCUUCGGAUUGUAAAGCACUUUAAGUUGGGAGGAAGGGUUGUAGAUUAAUACUCUGCAAUUUUGACGUUACCGACAGAAUAAGCACCGGCUAACUCUGUGCCAGCAGCCGCGGUAAUACAGAGGGUGCAAGCGUUAAUCGGAAUUACUGGGCGUAAAGCGCGCGUAGGUGGUUUGUUAAGUUGGAUGUGAAAUCCCCGGGCUCAACCUGGGAACUGCAUCCAAAACUGGCAAGCUAGAGUAUGGUAGAGGGUGGUGGAAUUUCCUGUGUAGCG
rnacentral:rRNA from 1 species